rnacentral:ncRNA from 2 species
UUGCUAAAAGGAAAUGGUGUCUUCCUAAUUGAACCGCUCAUCUUUUUGGGCUGAUGGCGCCUGCAGGUUA